GACGUAGGCGGCGAGCGUUGUCCGGAUUUAUUGGCGUAAAGAGCUCGUAGGUCGGCUUGUUGCGUCAGACCGUGUCGAAAACCGCAGCUCAACUGAUGGGCUUGCAGCUGAUACGGGCAGGCUUGAGUUCGGUAGGGGAGACGUGGAAAUUCCUGGUGUAGCGGUGAAAGUGCGCCAGAGUAUCGAGGAGGAACACCGGUGGCGAAGGCGGGUCUCUGGGCCGAAUACGUGACGCUGGAGGAGCGAAAGCGUCGGGGAGCGAACAGG
rnacentral:rRNA from 1 species